rnacentral:lncRNA from 1 species
CAGGAAGAGUAGCGUUACUAUGGCAACCCUGACAGGUUUGUGAGCAGCCCCCGGUCCCCUGCCGCUCCGUGAGAAAUCAAACUUCAGGCACUGACGAAGCAUGAAGCCAGCAUCUUAGGAAGAGGCACUUCGGGACUACAAUCCCAGCAUGACCCGGGCUCGGGGACGGGGCGCAGUUCUCGUGGGAGGAGCGGGGCGGUGAGAGCCUGGCUAGGCAGGCUGGAAACAGUAGCUCUUAACGGUCCCCCGCCCGUUGGUGGCAAGGCGGCUGGACUGGAAUCCCAGCAGGCGACAUGCGAGGAGGCGGGCAGCCCAGGAGGGUUGGACACGGCAAUGUGGACCUCGCCGCUUCCACAACGAUGCUGGCUACUGAUCGCGUGCACUUCCUUGCCAAAGAAAAGAAAUUAAUGUUAUGACUGGAUGAAGACAAUUGUGAAGAAACUGCACUUUGAGGUUGUCUAUCUCUGUAUUCUGAUGGAAAAGCGUGGAGUUUAGAAGCACUGCUCACUCCUUCAGUUUCUAACAAGUUUGAGACUAUGGUUAGGUGGUGAGGAAGGCAGGCUCAGCACCCAAGCCUUGGGGAGACGCAGAAAGGGCCCAUCCCAGGCACUCAGGUGGAGCAGGUGGUCUGUCCUAGAGAACGUUCCAUGUGGAUUUGAGAAGAAUAUAUAUUCUCAUGUUGGAUGCAGUGCUGUGCAUAUGUUUGUUAGGUUUAGUUGUUUUAUGUUGUUGUUCAUGUUUUCUAUUUUUUAUCUUCUGUCUACUUGUUCUAUCCAUUAAUAUAAGUGAAGCAUUAAAGUCUCCAACUAUUACUGUUGAAUUAUCUAUUUCUCCCUUUAUUUCUGUCAUUUUUGCUUCAUG